CAGCUCACCAAGCCCUUCUCUGCCACUUACUGACAUCAGACAACAGCAGGAUUGGUCCAUCCCAACUCUCUUUUAUCUGAGAAACCACUGUUUUGAGAGGGCUGAGAUUCUUUGCAUAACAAAGUCACCGGAGGCAACACUUGCGUGAAAUCUGAAACCCACCAAGCCAGACAUUUAACAAAUCCUGAUGGUAUUUAAACUCUGUCUGGAACCUCAUGGCACUGGCUGGAUCUUCUCUUUUAGUAGAGCUGGAGUGCAAGCUGCCUUUCUCUUACAAGAGAUUCUGUUUGCUGGGAUCUGAGCAACACCGGCAGCACACUGUGACUGACUUCCCCCAGCCAAGUCAGCUGGAGCCCUGCUACUGAUUCCUGCAGAAUUCUGUGAGUUCCCUGCGUGUUCUUUAAAGGUAGAUAUCUCUAUAUUUUCUUAAUAUACAAUAAUAAUCUGAGUUUCAUACAGUGUGUUUUUGCC
rnacentral:lncRNA from 1 species